AUGGAGCAGACAUGGGCAGAGCUAGGGCUGGGGUUGCUGCUUCCGGCACUGCUCCUACCCACACAGAUUCAAUGCAACCAAAUAUCUGUUGCACCAGUUUCCAGUAACCAGAAUAUUUCUGCUUCCCCAAAUCCAAGUAAUGCUACCACCAGAGUGGGUGGCAGCUCCCCGCAGUCCACAGCUGGUCUCCUGGCACACACUCUCUCUCUCUUCUACAUCUCUACUGUUAGAGACUCAGGCCAGGAAAUGUUUCUACUUCCCAUCUUCUAG
rnacentral:lncRNA from 1 species